UACGGGGGGGGUAAGCGUUGUUCGGAAUUACUGGGCGUAAAGGGCUCGUAGGCGGCCAACUAAGUCAUACGUGAAAUCCCUCGGCUUAACCGGGGAACUGCGUCUGAUACUGGAUGGCUUGAGGUUGGGAGAGGGAUGCGGAAUUCCAGGUGUAGCGGUGAAAUGCGUAGAUAUCUGGAGGAACACCGGUGGCGAAGGCGGCAUCCUGGACCAAUUCUGACGCUGAGGAGCGAAAGCCAGGGGAGCAAACGGG
rnacentral:rRNA from 1 species